rnacentral:rRNA from 1 species
GAUGAACGCUGGCGGCGUGCCUAAUACAUGCAAGUCGAACGAGUUCUCGUUGAUGAUCGGUGCUUGCACCGAGAUUCAACAUGGAACGAGUGGCGGACGGGUGAGUAACACGUGGGUAACCUGCCCUUAAGUGGGGGAUAACAUUUGGAAACAGAUGCUAAUACCGCAUAGAUCCAAGAACCGCAUGGUUCUUGGCUGAAAGAUGGCGUAAGCUAUCGCUUUUGGAUGGACCCGCGGCGUAUUAGCUAGUUGGUGAGGUAAUGGCUCACCAAGGCGAUGAUACGUAGCCGAACUGAGAGGUUGACCGGCCACAUUGGGACUGAGACACGGCCCAAACUCCUACGGGAGGCAGCAGUAGGGAAUCUUUCACAAUGGACGCAAGUCUGAUGGAGCAACGCCGCGUGAGUGAAGAAGGCUUUCGGGUCGUAAAACUCUGUUGUUGGAGAAGAAUGGUCGGCAGAGUAACUGUUGUCGGCGUGACGGUAUCCAACCAGAAAGCCACGGCUAACUACGUGCCAGCAGCCGCGGUAAUACGUAGGUGGCAAGCGUUAUCCGGAUUUAUUGGGCGUAAAGCGAGCGCAGGCGGUUUUUUAAGUCUGAUGUGAAAGCCCUCGGCUUAACCGAGGAAGCGCAUCGGAAACUGGGAAACUUGAGUGCAGAAGAGGACAGUGGAACUCCAUGUGUAGCGGUGAAAUGCGUAGAUAUAUGGAAGAACACCAGUGGCGAAGGCGGCUGUCUGGUCUGUAACUGACGCUGAGGCUCGAAAGCAUGGGUAGCGAACAGGAUUAGAUACCCUGGUAGUCCAUGCCGUAAACGAUGAAUGCUAGGUGUUGGAGGGUUUCCGCCCUUCAGUGCCGCAGCUAACGCAUUAAGCAUUCCGCCUGGGGAGUACGACCGCAAGGUUGAAUCUCAAAGGAAUUGACGGGGGCCCGCACAAGCGGUGGAGCAUGUGGUUUAAUUCGAAGCAACGCGAAGAACCUUACCAGGUCUUGACAUCUUUUGAUCACCUGAGAGAUCAGGUUUCCCCUUCGGGGGCAAAAUGACAGGUGGUGCAUGGUUGUCGUCAGCUCGUGUCGUGAGAUGUUGGGUUAAGUCCCGCAACGAGCGCAACCCUUAUGACUAGUUGCCAGCAUUUAGUUGGGCACUCUAGUAAGACUGCCGGUGACAAACCGGAGGAAGGUGGGGAUGACGUCAAAUCAUCAUGCCCCUUAUGACCUGGGCUACACACGUGCUACAAUGGAUGGUACAACGAGUUGCGAGACCGCGAGGUCAAGCUAAUCUCUUAAAGCCAUUCUCAGUUCGGACUGUAGGCUGCAACUCGCCUACACGAAGUCGGAAUCGCUAGUAAUCGCGGAUCAGCACGCCGCGGUGAAUACGUUCCCGGGCCUUGUACACACCGCCCGUCACACCAUGAGAGUUUGUAACACCCGAAGCCGGUGGCGUAACCCUUUUAGGGAGCGAGCCGUCUAAGGUGGGACAAAUGAUUAGGGUG